ACCUGGUUGAUCCUGCCAGUAGGCAUAUGCUCGUUUCAAAGAUUAAGCCAUGCAUGUCUAAGUUCAUACCUAGUAAAAGUGAGACUGCGAAAGGCUCAGUAUAUCAGUUAUAGUUUAUUCGAUUGUGAAAUCCACAUGGAUAACCGUGGAAAAUCUAGAGCUAAUACAUGCGAAAAAUGAUAUGUUGAGCAAUUGAUAUAUUAUGCAUUUAUUAGAUUAGAACCAAUCGGAAGACGCAAGUUUUCCGUAGUGGUGAGUCUGAAUAACUUUGCCGAUCGUAUGGCCUUGAGCCGGCGACGUUUCGAUUAAAUUUCUGCCCUAUCAAUUUGUUGGUAAGGUAGUGGCUUACCAAGAUUAUUACGGGUAACGGGGAAUCAGGGUUCGAUUCUGGAGAGGGAGCCUGAGAAACGGCUACCACAUCCAAGGAAGGCAGCAGGCGCGCAAAUUAUCCAAUCCAAAUAAUGGGAGAUGGUAACGAGAAAUACCAGAUUGUUUCCUUAAUGGAUUCAACACUGGAAUGAAUGUAACUUAAAAAAUUCAAUGAGUAGCAACUGGAGGGCAAGUGUGGUGCCAGCAGCCGCGGUAAUUCCAGCUCCAGUAGUGUAYCCUAAAGUUGCUGCGGUUAAAACGCUCGUAGUUGGACUAUAUAGUAAUUUGGUACAGACAGGAAAGGUUUUAUGUAUGACUUAGUAGUAAUAUGAGCAUUGCGAGUAUUAUUGGUUUUUCAUAUAUUACUUUGUUGAUCUAGUAGCCAAGUUACUUAGACUAUUUUGUGAGAAUAAUAUAUGGUCUUGAUUGUAUCGUAUAUUGUAUCUUGCAUAACGUGCCUUGAAUAAAUCAGAGUGCUCAAAGCAAGCUAACGCUUGAAUGUUAAUAGCAUGGAACGAAUGUUUUGUGAAAGUAUAUGCAUAUUAUUUYGGUAWUGUGUAUAUACAGCACCAACCACGAAGCAGAACAUUGGUAGCUGUCUUCGGGUGAUGAUUAAGAGGGGCAUUUGGGGGUAUUAGUAUUUGAACGCGAGAGGUGAAAUUCUUGGACCGUUCAAGGACUAACAAGUGCGAAAGCAUUUACCAAGGAUGUUCCCUUUAAUCAAGAACGAAAGUGAGAGGAUCGAAGACGAUCAGAUACCGUCCUAGUUCUCACCGUAAAGUAUGCCAACCCGGGAUUAGCUCGGAUGUAUUUUAUUUGGAUCCAGGUUGGUCCCCCUGGGAAAUCUUUUUAAUCGUGAUGGGGAUUGAGCAUUGUAAUUAUUGCUCAUGAAAUAGGAAUCUCUAGUAAUUGCAACUCACUCAGGUUGUGAUGAAUGAAUCCCUGCUCUUUGUACACACCGCCCGUCGCUACUACCGAGUGAAUGGUGUCAUGAUGUAUUAGGACUGGACGUGUUGGCAUUUAUUGCAAAUACGCUAGGAGUAAGACAAAAUGGCCCUAUUUCGAGGAAGUAAAAGUCGUAACAAGGUUUCCGUAGGUGAACCAGCGGAAG
rnacentral:rRNA from 1 species